GUAUUGACUGCCGAAGACAGUAGGUGCCGCAAGGCUUAAGGUGUUAACGCCUACCGAGGAACAUACAACUCAUAAUGAGAAUUGUAGACCUCUCUGUCUUUUUGCAGAGAGGUUUUUUU
rnacentral:sRNA from 1 species